rnacentral:tRNA from 1 species
GCCUGGGUGGCUCAGUUGGUUGAGCGUCUGACUUCGGCUCAGGUCAUGAUCUCGUGGUUUGUGAGUUCGAACCCCGUGUCGGGCU